AAUGCACCAAAUUGUAAGUCGCUCUGGAUAAGAGCGUCUGCUAAAUGACGUAAA
rfam:Salmo salar isolate Sally breed double haploid chromosome ssa13, whole genome shotgun sequence.